GACGAACGCUGGCGGCGUGCCUAAUACAUGCAAGUUGAGCGCUGAAGGUUGGUACUUGUACCAACUGGAUGAGCAGCGGACGGGUGAGUAACGCGUGGGUAAUCUGCCUUUGAGCGGGGGACAACAUUUGGAAACGAAUGCUAAUACCGCAUAAAAACUUUAAACACAAGUUUUAAGUUUGAAAGAUGCAAUUGCAUCACUCAAAGAUGAUCCCGCGUUGUAUUAGCUAGUUGGUGAGGUAAAGGCUCACCAAGGCGAUGAUACAUAGCCGACCUGAGAGGGUGAUCGGCCACAUUGGGACUGAGACACGGCCCAAACUCCUACGGGAGGCAGCAGUAGGGAAUCUUCGGCAAUGGACGAAAGUCUGACCGAGCAACGCCGCGUGAGUGAAGAAGGUUUUCGGAUCGUAAAACUCUGUUGGUAGAGAAGAACGUUGGUGAGAGUGGAAAGCUCAUCAAGUGACGGUAACUACCCAGAAAGGGACGGCUAACUACGU
rnacentral:rRNA from 1 species